GGACCGUGCGUCUUCUUCUCGGCCAAGGCCUGCAAAAAAAGCACUAUAUAUGUCUCGGCGAAAACGGGGAUUACUUGGCUCUUGGUAUUAAGUCAUACUCGUCCAGCAAUCCCUUACUUACCGGUCUCUGCAAUAAUGUCUAAAACAAGCUUUGGAAACAAUAUGCUAUUUGAAGAAAUUUUUAACUUCAAAACAAGUUAUUACACGAUGAAGGUCAAUUCAAAUGUAUACAGCCUACAACAAUAACAACACAUGUAUACUCUACUCAUCA